CUCGCCGUAGUUCAAUGGAUAGAACGAGUGCCUCCUAAGCGCUAGAUACAGGUUCGAUUCCUGUCGGCGAGACCA
rnacentral:tRNA from 2 species